AUGGAGAGGAGACUGGGGACUUUGCUGGGGCUUCUGUGGGUCCAGGUUUGCUGGGUGAGAGGGUUCCAGGUGGAGCAGAGCCCUUCAGCCCUGAGACUCCAGGAGGGAACCAGUCCUACUCUGAGGUGCAAUUUUUCUGCCACUGUGGACAGGGUGCAGUGGCUCCGACAGAAUCCUCAGGGCGGCCUCAUCAAUCUGUUUUUCCUGACUUCAGGGAUGAAGCAGAAUGGAAGGCUGAAGUCAACACUGAAUUAUAAGGAACUCUAUAGUACACUACAUAUCACAGCCUCGCAGCUGGAAGACUCAGGCACCUACCUCUGUGCAGCGGAGGCACAGUGCUCCCAGGCAGUCUGCAGCCUGGACCCAAACUGCAGCUGGGUCGCAGCCCCACCCCUUCCACAGAGGAGACGUGUUUCCCCAUUCAGCAUUUGCACAGCUUUGGGUUUCCUGAUUGAUGUUGCACUUUUAUCUCUGCUAAAAUGA